rnacentral:misc_RNA from 1 species
AUAUCCUCAACCUUCUCUCUUUGAGAGAGAAGGCUUGGACUUUGGAGGCUUCUGCUGGCCUCUACUUUGAAGCCAGCUCCUCUUAAACGCAUUAGCAGGUUUUGGUCAGUCCUUGACGUGAUAAGAUACUUUCUACGUUCGGGGCUUGGCUUUUUGAGACCUGCUUCUAAUCACUCGUAAUGAACC